CAGUCGCCGCGGUAAUACGAAGGGGGCUAGCGUUGCUCGGAAUGACUGGGCGUAAAGGGCGCGUAGGCGGUUUAUACAGUCAGAUGUGAAAUUCCUGGGCUCAACCUGGGGACUGCAUUUGAUACGUAUGGACUUGAGUGGAGAAGAGGGUUGUGGAGUUUCCAGUGUAGAGGUGAAAUUCGUAGAUAUUGGAAAGAACACCGGUGGCGAAGGCGGCAACCUGGUCUUUAACUGACGCUGAGGCGCGAAAGCGUGGGGAGCAAACAGGAUUAGAUACCCCUGUAGUCCCUGUCUCUUAUAC
rnacentral:rRNA from 1 species